GUUUUGACUGUCUUUGCCCAGCUGUUUAACAUGUCUCUUCAGAGUCUAAGAAGUCAUUUUCAAUAUUUGAAGACAAAUAUCCUGAGGCAGUGUAAUACUGGAAUAACACAUUUUUAUAUCAUAGAGAUGAAAAGCACCUUCCUGAAACUUAUUAGAAGCCUGGUAGCGAAUGUGUUUCCUAGUCUGCCAAGAGGCAAAAUAGUUGUGGAAUACCUCAUUUGGCAGUGUGGGCCUCUGGUCUGCUUUGUGGAUGGAAGAUAUGUUCUGAAGAGCAGUUUUUGA
rnacentral:lncRNA from 1 species